UUAAGAAGGUACCCACGCCGCGAUCACCUGGAAUCUUCGGCCAUCAUUUAUGAAGGAAAACAUAGCACAGAGAAAGCACGGAGGAUGAUCUCGAGCUGCGGCGCUCCGGCCUGGGUCGGUCCUAAGCCAGAGGUGGUAACAG